UACGGGGGGGGCAAGCGUUGUUCGGAAUUACUGGGCGUAAAGGGCGCGUAGGCGGCCAACUAAGUCAUACGUGAAAUCCCUCAGCUUAACUGGGGAACUGCGUGUGAUACUGGAUGGCUUGGAUUUGGGAGAGGGAUGCGGAAUUCCAGGUGUAGCGGUGAAAUGCGUAGAUAUCUGGAGGAACACCGGUGGCGAAGGCGGCAUCCUGGACCAAUAUUGACGCUGAGGAGCGAAAGCCAGGGGAGCAAACGGG
rnacentral:rRNA from 1 species